UACGUAGGGGGCUAGCGUUGUCCGGAAUCAUUGGGCGUAAAGAGCGUGUAGGCGGCCCGGUAAGUCCGCUGUGAAAGUCGGGGGCUCAACCCUCGAAUGCCGGUGGAUACUGUCGGGCUAGAGUGCGGAAGAGGCGAGUGGAAUUCCUGGUGUAGCGGUGAAAUGCGCAGACAUCAGGAGGAACACCAAUUGCGAAGGCAGCUCGCUGGGACGUAACCGACGCUGAGACGCGAAAGCGUGGGGAGCAAACAGG
rnacentral:rRNA from 1 species